UUAUUUUUUAAUAAUUAAUUUUUAUAUAAUUUUUAUAUAAUUAAUAUUUUAGUUAUUUAUAGGAAUAAAUAUUAUAAUAUAAUAAUAUUUUAAUAAUGAUAAAAUAAGUAUUUUAUAUAUAUAAAAUAUAGUAAUUCGGCAAAUAUUAUUUUCGCCUGUUUAACAAAAACAUGGUCUUUUGUUUAUAUAAAAGAUCUAACCUGCCCUAUGAUUUAUUUAAAUGGCUGCAGUAUUUUGACUGUACAAAGGUAGCAUAAUCAUUUGUCUUUUAAUUGAAGGCUUGUAUGAAUGGUUGGAUGAAAAAUAUACUUUCUUUAUUUUAUAUAAAAAAUUUAAUUUUCUAGUCAAAAAGCUAGGAUUUUUUUAUAGGACGAGAAGACCCUAUAGAACUUUAUUUUCUUUUUUUAUAAACUUUAUAGAUAAAUAUAAGUUUAUAUAUUUUUGUUAAUUUUGUUGGGGUGAUUGAAAAAAUUUUUUAACUUUUUCUAUUUUUUACAUUUAUAUAUGUUUUUUUGAUCCUUUAUUAUGGAAUAAAAGAUUAAGUUACCUUAGGGAUAACAGCGUUAUUUUUUUGGAGAGUUCUUAUCGAUAAAAAAGUUUGCGACCUCGAUGUUGG
rnacentral:rRNA from 1 species